AUUCUUCAGAGCAGUCAGAACUAGUCCGUCAACACAUAUCGAUCUGACGGCAAUUCCUAUCAAGCACUUAGGUUCAUCAUGCUGCUCCUACAAAAGUACACAACACCUGUUACAUUAGGUUUAAAACAAUCAUGUCAAUACUCAUCUUGAAAAAUUUAGGUACUUCAAAUUCUCUCAACAGGAAAGGUAAGAUGAAAAUUACAGAGGGUUAACUGCUUUUUUUUUUACUAGAUUAUGUAGUAGCACAGUUCUAUGUAAAUAAUUCUUUAUACUACAAGUAACAAGUUUAGCAAUCACAUACUUAGUUCAUAGCAAAUUUCAAUGAAUUAUACAAAUAAAUGUUGCCCAGGUAGACUCAGCAGUAACAAACUGUCACAGUCCUAUCUGAGAAAAGAUAUUUAAAAACAAGACUGUUAAGAUAGAAAUAACAUUUUGAAAUAGAAAGACUAUUGUUUUUUGUGGAUACAAAUAACUUAGAAUAGCAAGAAAUGUGCUCCAAAACCACACAACGAAGGCUAUGGAUAAGGAAGGUACACCUUCCACACAAAAAGACAAUAAUGAAGCUAGGUACACUAACAAAACACCGAUGGAUGUAAUGUUGCUGCAUUUUCUUAAGUCAAACAUUCACGUACGUCUAGCUGUAACUUGAAUCAAUUACUGUUUUAACAAGUGUGGCCAACGAAAGUAGAAUCACAGCAGUCAUGUUUAGUUACAAGUAAAUUCACACGUCUAAUGAACUUUAUAUGUUUGAUGUGCUUAAAAGUGGCCUCGUAAACCAACUACCGCAUACAGUAAAGUUCUGUUGAAAGUCCUUCUCUGAGAUUGACUUCACCAUCCUUAACAGCUUGUUACAACAGAAACUAUUGUAAAAACAGUAAGCAUGACCAAUGAUGGUAGUAAGCCCAAGAGAAUAAUGCAAUCUGGAAUGUUUUUCUUAGUGUCAUUAAUAUUCAGUACUUUUUAUUUGUGUUGAAUAGUUUAAUGUCAUAAUGUGUCUAUAACUUAUC